rnacentral:rRNA from 1 species
ACUCCCGCGGGAGGCAGCAGUGGGGAAUAUUGGACAAUGGGCGCAAGCCUGAUCCAGCCAUGCCGCGUGAGUGAUGAAGGCCCUAGGGUUGUAAAGCUCUUUCACCGGAGAAGAUAAUGACGGUAUCCGGAGAAGAAGCCCCGGCUAACUUCGUGCCAGCAGCCGCGGUAAUACGAAGGGGGCUAGCGUUGUUCGGAAUUACUGGGCGUAAAGCGCACGUAGGCGGAUCGAUCAGUCAGGGGUGAAAUCCCAGGGCUCAACCCUGGAACUGCCUUUGAUACUGUCGAUCUGGAGUAUGGAAGAGGUGAGUGGAAUUCCGAGUGUAGAGGUGAAAUUCGUAGAUAUUCGGAGGAACACCAGUGGCGAAGGCGGCUCACUGGUCCAUUACUGACGCUGAGGUGCGAAAGCGUGGGGAGCAAACAGGAUUAGAAACCCGUGUAGUCC